rnacentral:lncRNA from 1 species
UUUGCAUCAGCAUCAAGCAUCAGUACGAUGGGAAUUGGAAUGACGCAAACACUCGUUUGAGCACAUGUGAUCCUCAUAACAGCAAGUUUGUAAUAAAUUCUGAAACUCCUCAGGAGGUUGAGGUCGGCAAAGAUAUCGUAUUCACCUAUGAUGUUCGCUUUGAGGUACUGGUUUUGUUUAUUGUUGUCUCCUAUGGCAUGAUAGUUUCUUAACCUUCAAUUUUAGAUCUGCUUUAUGAUGAUUUUGAUGGAAUGUUUUGUUACUUUUGCAGGAGAGUGAAAUUAAGUGGGCAUCUCGAUGGGACACCUAUUUGCUGAUGUCUGAUGAUCAGAUUCACUGGUUCUCUAUUGUUAACUCUCUCAUGAUCGUGCUUUUCCUAUCUGGUAUGGUAGCCAUGAUCAUGAUGCGCACCCUGUACAGAGAUAUAUCUAGGUACAACCAGCUUGAAACUCAAG